rnacentral:rRNA from 1 species
AGCGGUAUCACCCUAAACGUACCUGAUCUCGUCUGAUUUUAGAAGUUAAACAGGAUCAGGCCUGGCUAGUACUUGGAUGAAAUAAUCUGUCUACAGCAUUCUAGGGUUUCGCUA